UACGUAGGGGGCAAGCGUUAUCCAGAUUUACUGGGCGUAAAGCGCGUGUAGGCGGCUGGUUAGGCGUGAUGUGAAAUCUUCCGGCUCAACCGGAAAACUGCAUUGCGAACCGGCCUGGCUAGAGUGCAGGAGAGGGAAGCGGAAUUCCAGGUGUAGCGGUGAAAUGCGUAGAUAUCUGGAGGAAUACCAGUGGCGAAGGCGGCUUUCUGGGCCUGUUCUGACGCUGAGGAGCGAAAGCGUGGGGAGCAAACCGG
rnacentral:rRNA from 1 species